CCUACGGGAGGCAGCAGUGAGGAAUAUUGGUCAAUGGGCGCGACCCUGAACCAGCCAAGUAGCGUGAAGGAUGACGGCCCUACGGGUUGUCAACUUCUUUUAUAAAGGAAUAAAGUGAGGCGCGUGUGCCUUUUUGUAUGUACUUCAUGCAUAAGGAUCGGCUAAUUCCGUGCCAGCAGCCGCGGUAAUACGGAGGAUCCGAGCGUUAUCCGGAUUUAUUGGGUUUAAAGGGUGCGUAGAUGGGUCUGUAAGUCAGUUGUGAAAGUUUGGGGCUCAACCGUAAAAUUGCAAUUGAUACUGGCAGUCGUGAGUGUAGUGGAGGUAGGCGGAAUUCGUGGUGUAGCGGUGAAAUGCUUAGAUAUCACGAAGAACUCCGAUUGCGAAGGCAGCUUACUAAACUGCCACUGACAUUGAUGCUCGAAAGUGUGGGUAUCAAACAGGAUUAGAUACCCGGGUAGUC
rnacentral:rRNA from 1 species